rnacentral:tmRNA from 1 species
GGGGUCGUUAUGGAUUCGACGGGUAUAGUUCGAAUUCGAAUGGCGUUACGUAGCGGCGUCUACGCAAAAACGUCCAGUUUUAAAUUAUAACUGCAAACAAUAAUUCAAACAACGCUACUUUAAUGGCUGCUUAAUAGGCGCCUUGUAGCAAUCCAAUUUAGCUUUACCUAUGGGUUAACAUUGGGUUUUAUAUGAAAUAGGUUACGCUAUUCAACUCACACCUGAAGUUGGUAGAAGAGAUUAAUCAGGUUAGCUAAUCAUGAUAGCCUUGGUGUAUGGCGUUUUAAUUAGUGAAGUUCAAAUAAUACUCCUAUGAGCGUAGAAAUUCGAAUGGCGAUAUGCUCGGACGCGGGUUCAAAUCCCGCCGACUCCA